rnacentral:lncRNA from 1 species
AAAAAAAAAUUGUAUUACGUAAAGAUUAUAGAGUGAUUAUUUGCAAAAAGAAGAAAUGAUUUAUAUUAUGAAAUAAGAAAAUAAGAAUGAAAUAUAAAUAAUAAUAUAAUAUUGAGGAGAGAGAAAAAGAUUCCUUUUUAGAGAGUAAAAUAGAGAAUUGGGUUGGAGUUGAUUGUCUGAAAAAAUAGAGAACUCUAUAUUUGGAGAGUAAAAUAGAGGAUUGGGUUGGAGAUGCCCUUAAGAUAAUCAGUCUUUAACUACUUUCAAAGAGAAUAAGUUUUAGACAAAAUUUAAAUUCUCUAUCAUUUUGAAGGGCAAUAGAUUAACUUAAAAAGAAAAAAGGAAGACACAAAUUACAUAUAAAAUAUUCAUAUGGAAAGAAAUUUUUGUAUGCUCGAUCUCUUUAUUAUUUAUUUUUUGUAGGUGGAGGAAGUCAAGGGAGAGAUAAAGAAAAUAAUACGAGUUAGCCGUUUAAAUAGGAGCGGAGUGAAUGAAAUGAAAAUUCGAAUUUGGUGUCUAGUGUAAUAAGAAAGUGUCAUCAAAUUUUAUAAAGUGGUAGUCAGAUCUAUGAUCUAUGGUGUUGUAUGGUGGGAAAGUGUUUGUAGUCAAGAACUUGCAUGUCCAAAAGAUGAGAAUAGCGGAAAGGAGCAUGUUGAGAUGGAUGUGUGGCAUAUUAGGAGAGAAAAAGUUAGAAAUGAAGUUGUUCGAAACAAGGUGGGAGUGACCUCUAUAAUUGACAAGAUGAGGGAGGCGAGACUAAGGUGGUUCGGAUAUGUGAAGAGAAGAUGCACAGAUACCCCAGUGAUAAAGUGUGAGAGAUUGGCUAUAGUGGGUAUUAGAAGAGGUAAAGACAAAAUCGAAGAAGUCUUGGGGAGGUGAAUUAUACAAACAUGACAUACUUGUAACUUAUCGAGGACAUAACUCUAGAUAGAAAGAUAUGAAGGUCGGAGAUUAAGGUAAAAUAUUAGUAAGUAGUUGUACAUUGUCUAACUCCCCUACAAGUAUUGCUAUAAAUACUCUCUUAGAAUUUUUAGAUUUUAAUAAUAUUUGUUGUUUCAUUUACUUCCGUGAUCGUAUUGUUUACUUUUGUUAUAGUGUUCUUUUCUUCAUUGUUUUCAGUAUGGCUUCUUCUGCUACUAUAUUUGUUUUAAUUAAAGAAAAUUUUAAAUGAAAAAAAUACACAUUCUAUCUUCUCAUAGUAUCAAUUUAUGAUACUAGGUCUUGCUAAUCAUAUCUAUGAUUUCAAUAAUUUUCAUUUCAGUAUGUUUAUCAUUAUAUGAAAUGAAAUUUUAAAAAACUUAUGUCUUUUAUUCUGUACGUGUUAAUUUUUCAUUCAUUGACAUUGUAUUUAUAUGUGUUGAAUUGACAAGUAAUAAAAGAUAAAAAUUAACACAAAGAAUUAAAAAUCAUGUUAGUUAGCUUUUUCAAGAAAACCUAAACUCAUUAAAAAGUAGGAAAAAUUAUGCAAAAUAAUAAGUAUUUAAAGUUUAAACUAUAUUAAAUGAUAUAAUUAUUGUUUAGGGAAAUUCAAAUGCGCAUCUAUAGUUUCGUCAUAUAUUGUUUUUUUCCUAACUUGUAUAAUUCGCCUGAUUAGUAUGAUUUGCCGAUUUGUAUAAAUUCGUUAAUUUGUAGAAUUUGAUUUUGGAUUGUACAAAUUCAGAUUUUUUUAUUUCCUGACCCUAUCCAUUUGUAUACGAUUAAUGAAUUCAUAAUGAAUUACCCUGUUUAUAUAUUGACAAAUAAAAUAUACAAACAAAGUUCUGAAAAAAUUCUGAAAUGUAUAAAUACAAUAUUUUUAUAUACUUACCCUAUUUGUAUAUUUGCAAGCGAAAUAUACAAACGGGUAGAAAUAUACAACCGCAACCUCCAUAGCAAAAGGAACUAUAGCUAUGAAACACAAUUAUCGAAACAAUAUUUAUAGAGUUUUAUUAAGUCUAUUAUGUUUACUAUUUCUGAAAAUUUCUCUUAAAAUUAUACCUCUACAAGUCCUGGGCUUAAAAGUUGGCCCAAAAAAAUUUGUCCUACACUGAAUUACCCACACAUAUAUUAGGCCUUCUAAUGGGCUUUUCAUCCAAAAGAAAAAUAUUUUGAUGAAGGGAAAAUAUGUUUCUUCUUUUGUGUCAAUCUGAAUUUAGAGGUGGAUUAAAAAAAUUUAGUAUAUAAGUGUACCCCUAAAAGAAGAAGGAAAAUUUGUAUUAAGAGUGAAUUGAUACCUUAGUCCUUUAGAUAAAUAUCGCAAACACUCAAUCAAUUAAAUUAUUUAGCUUUCUUGUAGUAUGGAUGCAAUUAGAUAAUAAUAUACUAAUUAUAAAAAAAAAUUGUUUUAUGUAAACAUCAUGAAUUCACAUGUUUCAUUUUUAGCAUUUAAAUUCGUCCUUGUGUCUUAUAAUUAAUAAAUUAAACUUCUUGACUCAACAAGGUAACUAAUCAUUCACAAUAAUGAACUUAUCAGAAAUUAAGUAGUGAAUGACAUUAAUUUGACAAGAUGAAACAUUUCUUUUGAAUAUAAAUUGAUUUUUCAAAUUAGUAAGAUUGACAUAAUUAUUACUUUUAAUUAUAUGUUAAAUAUAUCUAAUAUCUAUUAGAAUAUUUUGCUUAAAACGACAAAAUAAAAGUCAAAAUGAUUUUACAAAUAUUUUGACUUUUAUAAAUACUUAUUUUCCUAUAUAUUUUAUUGAAGAAGGUUGACCAAUUAAUUAAAAAUAUGAAGGUAAAAAAUUGAGGGUCAAAUAAUUUAUACAAAGGAUGUAGACGUGGAAAUGCACUAAAUUACUAUACAUAAUUUUUCACUACGUAAAACAAAUAAAAAGGAAUCCAAGAUAUUCUACACCGCGUAUGGCAACAUAAUUAUUGUACAUGACUUCAUUUUUACCAAAUAAUGUGGCUUUUUAACAUUAUAAAUACACCUAUGAUAUCAAUAUUCUACAUCACAUUUUCUUACUUCCUCAAAGUAAAGUUUAGUUGUGGAAAACAAAAUGGAGCCUACCAACAUUGAAAGGUUGCUAAAAACUCCAAUUGAAGAAAUGAAUUCUCAUGAGCUUCAACAAUUCGAAGAGCUCCUGGAUGCAGCAGUUGAGAAACUUGUUCAAGCUUUGGUGUUUUUCCAUCUGAAAUCCUUGGAAGUGAUUUGACUCCUUCAAAGGAUAAGUAAAAUUAUUCAUCAAGUUUCGAUGUUUGACCAACUAGGUCUUGCUAAUCAUAUCUAUGAUUUCAAUAUUUUUCAUUUCUGUGUGUUUAUCAUUAUUUGAAAUGAAAUAAAAAAAAUUAUGUCUUUUAAUUGGUAUGUGAUGAUUUUUCAUUCAUUGACAUUGUAAUUAUAUGUGUUGAAUUCACAAGUAAUAAAAAAUAAAAACAAAAUAACACAAAGAAUUAAAAAUCAUGUUAGUUAGCUUUUUCAAGAAAACCUAAACUCAUUUAUAAGUAAGAAAAAUUGUGCAGAAUAGCAAAUAUUUAAACCAUAUUAAAUGAUAUAACUAUUGUUUAGGGAAAUUUUAAUUCGCAUCUAUAGUUUCGCCAUAUCUUGUUUUUAGCCUGAUUUGUAUGAUUCGCCGAUUUGUAUCAAUUCAAAUUUUGUAGAAUUCGACUAUGGAUUGUACAAAUUCAGAAUUUUGUAUGUGCUUACUCUAUCUAUUUGUAUACGAUUUAAUGAAUUACCCUGUUUUGUAUAUUGACAAGUGAAAAAUAUAUAUACAAAGUUCUGAAAAAUUUCGAAAUAUAUUAAUACAUAAUUUUUAUAUACUUACCCUAUUUGUAUAUUCAUAAGCGAAAUAUACAAACUUGUAGAAAUAUACAGCCGCAACCUCCAUAGCAAAAGGAACUAUAGCUAUGAAACGCAAUUAUCGAAACUAUAUUUAUAGAGUUUUAUUAAGUCUAUUAUGUUUACUAUUUCUGAAAAUUUCUCUUAAAAGUAUACCUCUACAAAUCCUGGGCCUAAAAGUUGGCCCAGAAAAAUUUGUUUCACACUGAAUUACCCACAUAUAUAUAUUGGGCCCUCUAAUAAGCUUUUCAUCGAAAAGAAAAUAUUUUGAUGAAUAAGUUUAAAAUAGUUUGAAUAGAGCAAACUAUAUAAAUCUCACUAGUUUAGAUCCUAAUUACUAGAAUUUCUGAUAGUUUUUAAUAUUACUUUAUAUACCAUUUUCGGCUACGAGAUACAUGUAUCAUGGCCCAUAAGAUAUAUGUAUCCAUCAGAUUUAAAAGAGCGAGAUGCAUAAUUUAAUACUUUUCAAUUAAAUGUUGUAACUUAUUGCCUUAAUUAAAGGAGUAAAUGAUGGAAAUUAACAAACAAAACAGAUCUAAAGGAUCCUUUUGUAUCAACUAUUAACAUUUUUACUAAAAAAUCUAAAUCAUAAACCUUAAUAAUUCUGAAAUUGUAAAUUUCAUCUUCUUCAUCAAUUCCUUCUUUUGAAUCUUCAAUUUUUGAAGUUUCGAACAUUAACAAAGUAACUUUUUUUUUCUUCAGAAAUUCAAAUUUGGUUCUUUGAAUUUCAAGCUGUAAAUUUCAUACUUCUACCAAUAUUUAAAUAACAAUGUAUCUCAAAUAAACACAAUAUACAUAAAAACUAAUGUUCAUUCACUGUAUCUACAUAUACAUAACUAACAAUGUAUCUACAUUAAACACAAUGUAUAUAUGUAGGUUAGAUACAUACGAAAAUAGCAGAUGCAUUGCAAUAACAUAACAAAUGCGUAUUAUAAUAAGAUACUUGAUAGAAGGUCAGAUACACAUGACAAGAUUCAGACACAUAACAAAACAAAUUGUAUUAAAUACAUGUGUAAAUCUCCAAUAUAUUUAUUUGAUACAUACAUACUUAAUCAAAUACAUUAAUAAUAACUAGAUACAUAUAAUCGUAUCUCGAAUAUGUGUCAAAUACAUCAAUUGUGCCUUUUGACCACCUAUUUGCCUCCACCGUUCUAGGUUGUUUUCAUAGGAGUUGGGCUUUUAGAAUUGGGCUUCCAACCAUAUGGGAAUGUUUGGUGGGAUUCUUAUGUAAAUGUAUCGCCGCCCAAAAAAAAACAACUAAAAUGGUUGCAUUUAUGUGAAUUGUGAUGUAUAUUGUUAUUAAAAUAAUGUAAAAUUAUGUAUCAGAUGUAUAUACAUUGUUAUAUAAUAUUUAUAUAUUUCAACUGUUCAUCUUCCUCAAUGAGCUGAUUUUCCCCUAAACUAAUCAACUCAAAUCUCCUCUAAAUAAUCCCAAAAUUUAGAUACGAGCUCCUUUCGAUGUUUCGAGUCUUUAGAUAUAUUAUUUACUCGAUGCGAUUCACAUUUGCAGUAGGUCAAUUUUUUACAUUUUGAGCUUCGAAGCUAUUCAACGGCAAAUUACAAUGGACAUUAGCUCAAAUCUUCCUCUAAACAACUCAAGUUUUAGAUAUGAGGUCUUCUCGAUAUUUCAAUUCACGUAAAUUAAAUUUGAUGGUCCCACCUUAAACUCGUAUAUAUCCAAUGUAUGAUCUAUUUGGUGUAUACAUCGAAUGUCCCCUCAUGUAGUUUAAACUUUCCCGGUAUACAUGGAUUUUUUUUUCCAAAAAGUUAGCAUUAGGGGGUUGAAUUCAAUAUUGCCAAAAGUGACAAAGCAAAAUUAGUUGAAAGAAAUAAAAAAUAUGAAACCUACUUUUAAAAAUUAAAUGAUUAGUAUCAAAAUGGGCCAUAUAUAAAUGAUACUAGAAAAUAUAUCUAUUAAAAAAUUUAAAACAUGAGCUUCUAGUUCAUCAGAAUUACAAUACCCCUCCCCACCUACCCCCAACAAAGUAUUUAAAAAAAAUAAAAAAUAGAUCAAAUGGAACCAAAGGAAACUCAAUCAUUAAUUUGAGUAUCACCGAAUGAAACUUAGUGCGAAGUGGUAAAUAUUUCUCUCCAAGUUUGAAUCGCGUAAAUAAAACCGUCUUUGAUAUAUAACACUUUACCUCUCAAUACAAAUUCAAAUUAAUUAGACCUCAAAAUGAAUAUUAGAUAUCAUAUUAAAAAAAUAAAAAAGGAUUAUUAAUCUAAAUAUUUGAUGAUUUUACUCUAUACAAAGAAAUGAAGGAUGAAUAAUUGAAUACUUAGUAACUUCCUCAAAAAAAUAAAAUCAAAUAGUAUAGAGAAGACGUAGUCAAAUGGGAAUAGUGUUAACCUAAAAAAAAUGAACUUGUUGCCUUAUUGGUCCAUCAAUAAUUAUAGAAUAUAGUUGCUGAAGAAAAAUAAUUUAUGACAAAGAUAUUCAGCAAGAAAAUCCACAUUCCUUUGAAAAAAUCUACCUAAUAAGUGAAUGGAUCAAUUUCAACUUUCAAUGAUAUACAUAUAUUUUAAAAAAUUUAAUUUAUUUUUUCUCAAACCAAACAAAAAAAAUCAUGUAUAUAAAUUUUUAUUGCUAAACUUUGAUUAAAUGAUAUGUAUUUUUCACUUUUAUUUAUUAAUUUUAAGAAAUAUCUUAUUCAGAUAGGUAAUAUUAAUUCUAUGAGGUCGUUUGGUAUGAGAAACAAGAUAAACAAAGUAAUCUUAUGGACAUGAUAUCACAUAUUCAAUCAUAAUAAUAUAAAUAAUAAAAGAGAUAAUUCAAGGACUAACUGAUACUCUUAACUAAAUAUAAAAUAAAAUAAUUUUACAUUUUAUCUCGAAAUUAUUAUAUGAUCCGGUGUACCAAACCACCUCCUAUAAGUCAGAAAACUAGCCUCCACAUAUUUUCCCCUUGUCCAUUGUAGUGUCAUUUCCAAGUUCUUUUGUAUGUACAUCUAUGUGACUAAUGAGUUGAAUGAACACUUGUUGAUUAAAGCCAUUUGAAAACAGGUAGGAUUAAUAAUUAGUCUCAUUAAUGGGUGUGUCCAAUGAUGAUAUCUGAAUUAUGGGAUUCAUUUAUUAUAUACUAGAUGUAAAAUUACUGAUCGAUUUAAAAUUUAUAAGUUUCUAUAAUAAUAACUAAUAUAUAAUAAUAACUGAAUUUACAAUCAAGUUUUUAUAAAUAUUUGAUAUAUUUUAAUAUGAAUACUACAUUUUAAAAAUAAACUUAUUGAGUUCACAUAAACGUCAGGUAACACUCUAGAUCCGUUUAAUAUACAUUAUAAUUUUCUGUCAACAAAAAUUCAUUCAAACCCCAUAAUGCAUGCUCCUUUAGCUCCUUCCUAUCAUGCAAUGAGAUAGUCAAAAUUCCUGCAUUAUUAAUUAAAAAUACAUAUCAAGUUCGGAAAAUUUCUCGAUAGAAAGUAUGUUUAUCCUUUGAUAGAUUUUUACUUGACGUGAAUUUAAAUUAGUUCAGUAUAGGUCGAGUCGGUGGUGUCCAAUCUCAAGUGGGAUUUUUAUCCUUUUGGGGUGGGGGUGGGGGUGGGGUGGGGGAAAAAGCUCAGUAAAAGUAAAUAGAUUCUGAAAGUCACCUGGAUGCAACAUGUGCAAGUAUUGAUAGGGACUGAUGAAUACCAAGCAGUUUACACCAAUGACAAACAGCAAGUUUGGACCCUCAAAUACAAUUAUUGUACUUUCUUUUUUUAGUGGAAAAGAACAGUAUCUUUACCAUCAUAGGUUUACUAGAUUUAAUUAUAUUUUGUCAUUUAUCAUUUUUCUAAUGAAAAGGUAGGUUUAAAGCACUAGAUCUUUUUUGGAGUUUUCUUUAAUUUGGGGGAUAUGGACCAUUUAGUAUAAGAUAUGUAGAAGCAUAAAGAGGUUGAUGAUAAAUAAUAUGGUGGUGAAUAAAGAAAGUGAUUGACGAUAUAUAAUAUGGUGACUGAUGGUGGUGAGUUACGAUAGUAAUAACUGAUUAUAGUAAGUGAUUGAUAAUGAUGAUGGUUUGUAAGUUGUGACUUGUGACUGAAGAUGACUAUUGUUGUUGGCAUGUAUAAUGGUGAAUUACAAUUACAGUAGUUAUAAUAGUGAACGGAGGCGAUAACAAUGAGUAAAUGAAAUAUUAUGUUAGUAGCAAAGCAAAGUGUUGCUUUUGUACUCAAGAGUCAUUAUUACACAUUUACUACCACACCAAACAUAGUGGUUGUUUUAGUUUGUAAGUUGUGACUGAAGAUGACGAUUGUUGUUGGCAUGUAUAAUGGUGGAUUACAAUUAUAAUAGUUAUAAUAGUGAACGAAGGCGAUAACUAUGAGUAAAUGAAAUAUUAUGUUAGUAGCAAAGCAAAGUGUUAGCUUUUGUACUCAAGAGUCAUGAUUACACAUAGUGGUUGUUUUAUUAAAAGAAAAAAAAUCUAUAAAAGGAGUGAGAUGAAAUGAUUUAACUCUCUUCAGUCUUAAUUAGGUCCUGUUGACCAUAUAUAUUAUUUAUUUACUUCUGAAAUAUUUUUUUGUUUUAUUUAAAAAAAUUAGUGUUUUUUGUCUUUAGAUUUUCAAAUUUCAUUAGAAUUUGAAUUUAAUCUUGAAGGAAAUAAAAUAUUUCAAAAAGGGGUAAUUUUUUAACUAGAAGGUUUAUCAGAAAUAAUUUCUUUAUCUCGCACAAAGUAGGAGUAAGGUUUAUGUACACCUCAUUCUUCCCAAACUCUACUAGUGGAAUCACACUCAAUAUGUUAUUGUAAUAAGGAGCUUUUUUUGUGUGUGUAAAUCGAACCGGUAAAUUUAUAAAAACUACUAAUAUAAUUUAACAAAACAAAAUAUGUUUUUCUCCUUUAAUCCAAAGUGUAAUCCUCUUUCUUCAAAUUGUUUUAAAUUUCAAUAGUAAUACUAAUAAGAUUUAAAUUUUAUGAAUUCAGGGGCAUUGAUGACUUGACGAGUUGAUGUCAUUCUCAUCUUCUUCAGUUUAUUGAUCACCAAUCGCCUAUUUAAGAUUAUGUACUAAGUAAAACUUAACUCAAUACCUUACUUACAAUGCGAACGGAUCAUAAUCAUGAACCAUUCGUGCUUGUACUUAUCACAAAAAAUAUGAUCAAACACAACUCUAAUGUGAAAAUUUCACAUAAAGUAAUUUUUUGUUUUUGUUUAUUUACAUAGCCAAACACCCCAUGAAACAAAAUAUCAAAAAUCAAAACAAAAUUGGAAUUGAACAAUACACUUGAUUUUGAUUCUUGAAAUGAAAAUAUGACAAAGAAAUUGAAGAAUAUAAUACAAAGAUUCCUUGGUGGAUACAAGAGUUAAAUAGUUUUUAAUUACAAAGAGAGUGAAAAAGAGCAAAAAAAGAAAAUAGAACAAUUUCUCCCUCUUCUUCAUUCAACCACCUAUACACAUUAAUUCAUCCCAAGCCUGAAAAUUACAACAUACACAAUUGAUUAUAAUCAUAUCUUUCGCCUCGAUUAAUUUUACGAGAUAUUUAUUACUUUCUAUCAAAACAAAUAGCACAUAAUAACUUUAUCCGUGAAAGCUUGAAUCAAUAAAAAAACAUUACCUAAAAUUUCAUGACAAGUAUGAUGAAAUACCAAAUAUUAUUAUUGAGUUUAUGAAAUUAAAUCAUUUUACGAGCUUAGUGAAAUGAAAAACUACGAAGAAGAAUUCACAUAAAUUUACGAAAAACUUCUUUAUAUGUCGCAAAGAAUGUUACGUUUUCACUUUGUUUUCCGAGAUUCAUCAUAGAUUUGGUUUGAGAACCGUGUGAUGAAUAUGUGAAUGGAAGCCUUCUUUGCGCGAUAAAGUUACUAUUAACGCUAUUUAUUAUUAUGAUAAAUCAAUGUAUCAAAAUGUGAAUGUGAAAUCUUAUUUCGAUUUUUGAUAGGUAGAGUUAACGCAUUUUAUAAAUUAGUCGAGAUGUGUGUAAAUUAAUCGGAAAAAUUACCGUUACAUUUCACUUCGUUGAGAUGGGCUUCUCCAGAACCCAGUACCAUAAAACUUUUCCCACAUUUCCUUCUCCAGCUCCAAAGCAUCCUUAUCGGUAGCUAGGUUUCCGGCGCCGCCGACCACCGCAAUCGGACUAGAAAUCUGGUAAGCAUGAAGCUCCAUUUCAUCACAGCUACAAUGUCCACUUCCCGACGCCGGCAAAAGCCCCUUUUUCAUCAACCGAUUCCGGCGAUUUUUCCUCAAAGCCUUUCUACAAAGUCCGGCAGGAACCUUAUACACCGCUAGAACCAACAAAUUCGCAAUCCCGCAAGGACAACAACACGCCACCGCCGCACAUUCCGCCGUCGUACCGCCGGCAACCUCCGCUAAUCGCGCUCUCCGAACAACGCUCCCACCGCUGCUGCUGCCGCGGACGCCGCCGCACGACGACGGAGAUGAAUCCUGACUCGAUAAUAGCGGCUGCCGUUUAUCCAGAGAUAGUAAUGGAGGCGAAGGUAUGAUUAUUGGUCUCGUCAUGCCUAAUUUCAAUUGUUUUUAAUUUUAAUUUUUUUCGAAAAAAUUCGAUUUCAUAAGGAUGAUAUAUUUUCGGAGUGGGGGAAGAAGAUUUAUUAGAUCUUCAAAAUGGGAAAAAUUACCCCUCUCCGAAAAUGGCUGGAGAAUUUUAUUUUUUAUGUGAAUUAUAAAAAAAAUUUUGAUGAAUUUGUUGGUUUGAUGUACUAUUUUUGGUUUAUAAAAAAAAUUUAUUUGAUCCAAGAAAAUAUAUUAAUGGUGGUUUUGAAGGGGUGAAAAUAUAGUGGAAAAGAGAAAAAUAAGGUUUGUCGUAUAACGGUGCGGGGAAAUAGGGAACAAAAGGAAUAGAAAAAGGGGUGUUCGAGUCAACUUAUACGGAUCUCGAAGAGUUUUAUGGAAUAUAGAUUACCUUCAUCAGUAUAGAUAUUACGUGUGAUUUGAAGUUGAAAAAAUAUAAUUUGAAUUUCUUAAGUUGUAGUUUUUAAUAAAUAUAAUAAUUUCAUAAAAUGUUGGGAUAUCUUAAAACACGGCAUUAAUAAAUUACAUGACUCUAUGUUUGCUUUAUAAAUGAAUAGUUAUGAUUAUAUGUCAUUACAAACUUUCAAAAUUCAUGUAUAACUUUUGAAAAAUCUCAAUAAUAAUCGUAACUAGCUAAUUUUUGAUAUAAUGAGCACGAAGAGUUUUUUUACGUCGUGCAUGAAUAUAUUUUUUUUAUAAAAAUUAUAAUAAUGGAUCUUCUUUUAAUAAAAUAAAAAUUUAUGAAUCAAGUUUGUUCUGUAUUUUGCGGAAUGGUAAAUCAAUAGUCAUAGUUAAUUCAACCUCGACUUACAUAUAUACUUAUGAUAAAGAAUUAUGACUUCGACUUUUUGAGAAAUGUUACAAUUAUAUCAUGUUAACGCUUUAUACAUGUAAAAUUAUCUAAAGUCUUAAUAAUAUAGCAAGUUUAGGAAACCUCACUUGAUAGUGAUGAUGUAAAUACUCUUGUUAGCACUAUGCAUAUAAUGUCUUAAUAAUCUUAUACAAUAAUAGUAUUAACAUCAAAAAAAUUAAUUUCAAUAUGAUAACUCGAUAUCUCUCGUAUAUACAUGUCUUUUAUUUUUCGAGGCAAACGUUAUUUUGUUUUUAAUAGAAAAUGGUGGUUGGGGACCCUUGAGGUUAGGGCCUAGGGGACAAUGGUACGUGCUAGGGAGUUAAUAGAGGAAGUACAAGACAAGUGUAUAAUUUGGAGAUUACACAAUACUUAAUAACCAAUAUAGCUUAUAUAGGGGGACAUAACAUCGUGAACUAAAAUUUUUUUUUUUUUUGAUAACCGAUCAUCGUGAACUAAAAUUUAAAUUUUGGUUAACCAAAGUUUGAGGUUAGAUAUAAGGUGGUGCAUAAUUUGGUACAACAUAUAUAGAAUCAAUGAAUAAUUAAAAUUAAAAUUUUUAAUACUAACUAUUUUGAUAUUUAAUAUGAUAUUUUGUUGGAGUCAUAUUCUCGUGUCUUUGAUGAAUCUAGAUGAAAUAAUAUGACUGAUGAAAUAUUAGAUUAAAACUUUUUGCCUUAUUUUUUCAGAAUUGAUGAUUUGUCCAACUCAAAAAUCAUGUAUAUUUCCUCUAACUCACACUUCCUAGAAAAAUAACAUUUUGUUUUGGUUUCCAUCCUAUGUUUGGAGCCAGCAAUGGAUCCCCGACUAAAUUUGAGUCAUGACGCUUUCAAUAGGAUUUUCUCCGUAUCUAGGACUCAAAUCCAAAAUCUCUAGUUAAAAGGGUAGCAAUUUCAUCACUGCAACAUAACCCAUGUUGAUAUAAAAAUAAAGUUCAAGUUAUCAAAUCGAAUAAAACGAAAACGAAAGGAGAGAAAAAUGAGCCAUAUCUUAUUUAAUUAGAUAUGGUAUUAGUAUGAUAAUUAGUUUAAGAAACCAAAGACCAUAAAAUAUCGAAUCAAUAUAUCUAAAAAUCAUAGCAUACUGCCCGUAGUUAAAUUUGAUUAAUAGAAUAUCCUUAAUUAACCAUAAUGUAUUAAUGUUAAAAAGAUAAUUAUUGAUGGAAUUUUCAAUAUAAUAAUUAAUAAGAUAGUAGUGCUAUGCUUGACCUUUAACUAGAGGACACAUAAUCCUUAUCUGGUCAUUUAUAAAAUAAAAUAAAAAAUAGUACAUAAGUUGGUGAAAGUUCACAAUAGUUAAUUAUUAUUAAUUUCAUAUCAUUUUGCAUGGGAUACUUUAUUCAUAGACCUUCAAAAUUUUGAAUAUAUCUUGUACUUCUUUUUCUAUUUUUUGCUUUGCUAGUAUUGAAAUUUAAAUAAAGAUUUAAGCCAAAAACAAAAUUAAAUUAUGAUGUCAUUUUUUCUCUAAGAAUUCCUCUUAUUUUCUUGUGAUUUUUGAACUUAACGAGAAUAAAACGGUUCAAUUUUCACAUAAUUCAAGGACAUUUUUAAUCUCAAAUCAAUGUAAUGACCCAUUCUUGUUAUUUCUUUUUGUUAUUUGGGUACCCAAAAAAGUUACUUUAAGAAAUUCACACAGACGAACUGAAAAAACAAAAGAGAACUGAUAAUUAAUUUAAGUAAUAGAAAGUAAUUAUCCACAACUAGUUUUAGGUAUAUAUUUUUAUUUUUAAAAAAAAGGGGAAGUUAUACAAUUGGUUAGGGGCAAUCUCCGAAAUUCGAACCCGAAAUCACUGAUUAGGAUAGAAAAAUCUCAACCAUUCCACUAUCACCCCGUGUUGGUUGUUGUAUCCAUCUUUAUAAUAAUGAACAAUGAUUAUUUUUUGUUAAAUGACUUGCUUCCCUCGUUUCCCUAAAAUAACUUCUUCUUUUUAAAAAAAAAUAAAAAUAGGACCCCAUGAGCAAAGGACUUUCUAAUUCAAAUAAAUUAAAAAUAAAAUACGAACAUAUGAAAUAUAUAAAAUAAUUACCUAGUAAUAUGGAUUAGUUUUUAAUUAGUGGAUUCCAUUCUUCAAACAAAUGUGAUUUAAUAUUCCUAUAAUUAGUUGCCACACCAACCACAUGCAAAUAUAAGUAGCUGACUCUUUUUCUCUCUUCUACUUUUACCUAACAACCCUUGAUUUUUUCUUCUUAUUUUUAGAUAAUUUUACCCUCUUGGAAAAAUAUAAUUCAGAAUGGUAUAUAAAUUUUUGAAAAAAAAUAAUCAAAUUUCUUUAAAUGAGAUUUUUUUUUUGUUUUAUUGAAUUAAAUAGCCUUAAUUAAAUUUUCUUAUGUUUUAGAUAAUUUUACCCUCUUGAAAAAUCAUGUGUUUUAAACUAUUUAACUUAAUAAAAAGUGUAUUUAAUUUCUAUAAUACCAUUUAUCUCUUUACUAAUUAGAGUAAUAAAGAUAUAUUUUUGAGUAUCGCCUUUGUUUGGGAGCAUUUCACCCUUCACCGUAGGACUUUCAGGUGCGAGAUUUAGUUUGGCGAAUAUGGAUACUAGACACCGGAUAAAAAACUAAAAAAAGAAAUUAUUUUUUCAAAAGAGUAAAAGAUGACUAUGAUUUUUUUUUUAAAGUAUUAAAUUUAAAAAUAUCUUUGGAUGUACUAUAUUUUCGUUUAAAACACAAGAUUUUUUUAGGAUAAAACUAAAAUUUAGGUGAUAAAAAUAGAUUCAAAAUCCAUAAAAUGUCUAUUUAUUGUUUGGUGUUACAAAACAAAAAAAGUCAAAUGCCACAGAAAUAUGUGCUGAUGGCAUUCGAUAGAAACUGCAAAACAAUUUUAAAAAACUAUAUAUAAAUAAAUAAAUUUAAAAAAAAUAAAAACAGUUGACAAUUCAUUUUCCCAUUUCCAAAUAAAUUUUUCCCUUUAAAUACAUCAAGUUAACUGUUCCAUUGUUCUCUAUCUUCUUAUUAUAAUAAUUCCAUGAACUUCUUACAUAUUAUUAUCAAUAAAAUGUUUUUAUUUAUAGUUUUCCAAGAAAAUUUCCUUUAAUUUUUUCCCUUCAAAUAUCCAAAAAAUUUAAAAUUGUAUAAUUUUUUUUGCAAGAGGAAAAUGGAGAAUUCAUUGGGAUGUGCAUUUAUGGCUGUUUUUGCAGUUUCUGGAAGUGUUGUUCUCCUUGCUAUGAAAGUGCAUCAACAUCUUCUUUCUGAUUUCAUCAACAAAUUGGAAACUCAAAUUGGUAAUUUUACUCUUUCCCUCUUUCGGAAAUUGUUCUAUUUUAUCGUCUGUUAUAAUUUGGAUCGAUUUAUAACUUUACUUUUAGUAAAAAGUCUCAUUGGUCGAUUUAAAACGUUACUUUUUGCAAAAAAAAAGUCUCAUAUUUGAUCUUAUUGUUGAAGUUUAAAUGCGGAAUUAGAGAAGCAGAAGGGUUUAUCCAAUUAUUUGAAUCUUUCUUUAUUGAAAAAUCGGAUUGUGUAUAUAAUGACAAAACUUAUUUCCGUAUGAAUAUAUAUAUUAUAUAUGUUAAAAAAUUUUGGUGAAAAUUUUGAUAGAUUUUUUUAUUAUAUAUUUAAUAGUGUUCAAGCGUAAAAUAAGAAGAUUUUAGUACGUGUCAAGAUUAAACCCAAAGUAUAAUGGAGGACAAAAUUCUCAAUUUUAUUGGAAGUUGUUAAAUUUUCUUUUUUCUUAUAUGGUUUUGUAAUUCAAAAAAUAAAUUAUUAUUUUUUAUUAUCUAUCCCUCUUUUAUAUGACCGCCCUUAACCGCUAGAACCGUAGUCCCUAUUUUAUCAGUUUUUAUGAAAUAUAUAAUAUAUAAUAAUAAUAAUAAUAUAUUCAGUGUAAUUGUAUAAGUGAGGUUUUAAGAAAAAUAAAGUAUACACAAAAUUGUUUCUGGUAAACCUUAACUUAAUAAAACAUAUAAUACUACAUUAUGCAAUUUUAGAAGUGGAGUAUAAGAAGGGUAUGUGUUUGUUGUCUUACCCUUAUAUAUCUUGAGAAAGUAGAAAGACUAUUUCUGAUAAAUUAUCGACUCAAAUAAAUCAUAUUAUAAAUUUUAUGAAAUAUGAGACUUUUUGCAACCUCUGACUAAUAUGGAUGACUAUUCAUGUUAAUUUCUUUAAUAAUUUAUUUGAUGUUUUUUUUUUAAUUUGUAUGACCAGAUAAAAAUCAAGCAAAGAAGAAGGUUAUGUUUUCCAAUAAAGUUGUGGAAUUGGGGUCUCAAAACAAAGAUAAACUUAAUGAUGAGAGUUUGGAAUCUAUGCCUUUGAAUUGGCAAGUUCUUUACAAAGGAAUUCUCAAUAAUAAAAACCUUAGAGGUUUAAAUAACUAUUAAUAAUUUUUUAUAAAAAAAUUAUAUAUAUUUGUUUAUUGUAAUGGUGAUUUUUGUAUUUACAUUUUGCAAAAGGAAAUGACACGUUGUGACUUUAGUAAUUUUUUUGUUUUUAUUUGUGUAACAUAUUUGGUUUAAUAAUAUAUAUAUAUAGAGAGAGAGAGAGAGAUUUGGGGAAUGAAAGGAAUUUUUCUUUUUUGUCAAUUACUUCCUUUGUCGUUCACAAUUUGUUAUUUUUUCUAUUUCAAUUUGUUUGUCAUAUUAUAAUUUUUAGUCUGUUUAGUAUAGAAUAUCUCUUUUCUUUUUGACAUUUUCUUUAAUUAUAACUUUUCAUAUUACAUGUUUAAGACCAUGAUAUUCAAUUGUCUUCAUUCUUCUCUACUUUCUUAAACUUCGUAUCUAAAAAAAUAUGAUAAACAAAUUGAAAUGAAGAGACUACUAUUUUAUAUUAAGAUAGUCCUUAUGAUGAGAUAUAUGAGAAUAAAUUUGAUAGAGGUAGAUUCAUGAUCUCUAAUUUAUAAGUUUAAAAUCUAUAAUUAUUUUUCCUUGUUCAAUUUUAAACAGAUUAUUCCAUACAUAUUAAAAAAAAAUUAAAAAUAAAUAUAUAAAUUAAAUUUAAAUUAUUAAAUUUUAUCGAAUCCGUAACUAUAACUCCACCCCCUCACAAAUGUGAAUAUCCAUUGAUUUGAAUGGUAAAACUCAUUAAAGUAUUAUACUUUUCCAAUAAAAGAUGAUGUAAUAAGUUGUAUUAUGACGUAAUCCAUCGUCGGCAAAAGUUUGAAAAUUAUUGGAUUUAUAUUUUGAAGAUAUUUGGUCGUUUGUGUAUGAUUUUUUUUCUUUUUUUUAUAAAAAUAUAAAAUAAUGUUUGGUUAUAAAUUGAACUGCUUUUUAGAAUUAAAAAAAAAAAAAACUGAAGAUGAAUUGCAAUUUUUUAAAAACGAUAUAGUAAAGUUUUUCCACAUACAAAACUGUUACUUGUUUUUUUAUAAUUAAGAUAAAUGCAUGUCCAAAUCGAGACGGAUUCUUAAUUUAAAAUUUCAUAAGUUAAAUAUUCAAUGUUUUUAAUAUUAAACUUGCAAUACUCAACACUGUAUCGGUUCAUGUCUAUCGUUUAUUGCAAUUUUAAUGAAUUUUUAUAUAUAAAUAUAGGCUCAACGUUGAAAAUAUUGAGUUUCGAUAAUCCCGAUAUCAAUAUGUUGCCUUCGUUCAAACGUAAUUUCAACUCGCAAAUCGAUAAUAGGCGUGGGUUUAAUUCUUAUUGUUCCCUUCAUCUUCCCAAACUUGAUCCAUAUAAUUGCAAUAUGGCGAAUAGAGAGUAACAAAAUGAAUUUUUUGACUCAAAUUUGCAAUAAAAUGUUUUGUAUUAUAAUUGCUACAACAACAUGAUGAUUCAUAUUUUUUAUGAAUUCAUAAUCGUACGAAGAAAUUCAUUUUUGCAAAUUAUAAAUCUAGAUUAUAGAAUAAUCUGUGAUUAAUAACACGAUUUCAACCUCUAUUGAACUGAAACAAACGAAAUCACAAAAAUCAAAUCCAGAUCCGUCAAAAUAAAAACCAAAUAUCACUGUAAUUUUUCCGUUCUAAGUUUUUAAAAAAAAGUAUACAUCCAACAUACUUGUAUUCAUCUACGAACCGAUCUGCCGGAAUCUCUCGUCGCCGCCGUGGAAGAAAAAAAAAAGUUCUUCAUCGACUCUGCUACCGGUCCAGAUCGGUCGGUUCAUAGUGGCACCGCGGCGGUUUUAGGAGGUGAAAUAGAAGAUUGGUUGAAGAGCGAGGUAGAGGAAGAUGAAGCAACAGCUGGAUGUUGCUAAGAACACCAAUCCGUAGAUAGUUCGAAUCGCCAUGGAAGAAGAUUCUGAAUUUGAUGAGAGAGAUUGAGAUUUAGAUCUGGAGAGAGUAGUUGUGAAGUAGUGGAGUGGGGAAGUUCAAUUUUAAAUAGAGGUUGAAAAAGUUUCCAGAUUUGAAAUUUUGAAUGAAAAAAAGCACUAAAAAUAGGGAAUUGGAUAAGGCUAUGGUAGCUAUAAAUGGACAAUAAUUUGGAAUAAGAGAAAAAAA